CGGGUAUGCUUGUUUUCAAGUAUAUGCCGGCGACCGGCGCACGGGUGAGUAACGCGUAUCCAACCUGCCCACCACAAGGGAAUAACCCGUCGAAAGUCGGCCUAAUGCCCUAUGUAUUCCGAUGAAGUCCUCUGAAUCGGAAUAAAGCAUUUGCGGUGAUGGAUGGGGAUGCGUCUGAUUAGCUUGUCGGCGGGGUAACGGCCCACCGAGGCAACGAUCAGUAGGGGUUCUGAGAGGAAGGUCCCCCACAUUGGAACUGAGACACGGUCCAAACUCCUACGGGAGGCAGCAGUGAGGAAUAUUGGUCAAUGGGCGUGAGCCUGAACCAGCCAAGUAGCGUGCAGGAUGACGGCCCUAUGGGUUGUAAACCGCUUUUAUACGGGGAUAAAAGGGGUGAACGUGUUCUCCUUUGCAGGUACCGUAUGAAUAAGGACCGGCUAAUUCCGUGCCAGCAGCCGCGGUAAUACGGAAGGUCCUGGCGUUAUCCGGAUUUAUUGGGUUUAAAGGGAGCGCAGGCUGCACUUUAAGCGUGUUGUGAAAUGUACCGGCUCAACCGGUAACGUGCAGCGCGAACUGGGGUGCUUGAGUACGAAGAGGGAAGGCGGAACUCGUGGUGUAGCGGUGGAACGCUUAGAUAUCACGAGGAACUCCGAUCGCGAAGGCAGCUUUCCGUUUCGGAACUGACGCUGAGGCUCGAAAGUGCGGGUAUCGAACAGGAUUAGAUACCCUGGUAGUCCGCACGGUAAACGAUGGAUGCUCGCUGUUGGAUAUUUU
rnacentral:rRNA from 1 species